GUGUUUAUUACGUCGAAUAUCGACGUCAUAAACACCAAAGUUGGUCGUGUUUAUGACGUCGAAUAUCAACGUCUUAAACACCAAAGUUGAUCGUGUUUAUUAUGUCGAAUAUCGACGUCAUAAACACCAAAGUUGAUCGUGUUUAUUAUGUCGAAUAUCGACGUCAUGAACACCAAAGUUGAUCGCGUUUAUGUAGUCGAAUAUCGACGUUAUAAACAC
rnacentral:miRNA from 1 species